rnacentral:lncRNA from 1 species
UCUCCUGACCUCGUGAUCCGCCCUCCUCGGCCUCCCAAAGUACUGGGAUUACAGGAGUGAGUCACCACGCCCGGCCGGAUUAUGGAUUUUUAAGAGGAAAACCACAGAGGAGUUUUAAUACUUUAUAUCUUUCAAUAAAUUGGUAAAUAUCAUCUAACAUCAAAUUUGUGGGAAUAGCCCUGUUCAAUGAACACCUGGACUAUCCUUUAAUGAUGUCUACAUCAAUGGAAGCCAAGCCACACUGCUAACUGAUGAGAGACCAGCUUGAAAGAGGGAGGACCUGCCAAUUGCCAUCAGCACAACUCCAGAUAUAUGGGAGUCAGGCUUUAGGGCAAAAACCGGGGAUCACAGAAUGCUUGCUCAAUCAACUUUGCUCAUCCAAAAUCACAAAAAUCGCCUCAAAAAAUGUUGAUGAUAAUUUAAUUUUCUUCACUCUCCAUGAAGAUGUUAGAUAAUGCUCACUCUGGGUGAGAAUAAAAGCCAGACUCAUCAA